rnacentral:rRNA from 1 species
AUCCUGGCUCAGAGCGAACGCUGGCGGCUCGCUUAACACAUGCAAGUCGAGCGCCCCGCAAGGGGAGCGGCGGACGGGUGAGUAACACUUGGGAACGUGCCCUUUGGUUCGGGAUAACUGCGGGAAACUGCAGCUAACACCGGAUACGCCCUAAUGGGGAAAGGUUACGCCGAAGGAGCGGCCCGCGUCUGAUUAGCUUGUUGGUGAGGUAACGGCUCACCAAGGCUACGAUCAGUAGCUGGUCUGAGAGGAUGAUCAGCCACACUGGGACUGAGACACGGCCCAGACUCCUACGGGAGGCAGCAGUGGGGAAUAUUGGACAAUGGGCGCAAGCCUGAUCCAGCCAUGCCGCGUGAGUGAUGAAGGCCUUAGGGUUGUAAAGCUCUUUUGUCCGGGAAGAUAAUGACUGUACCGGAAGAAUAAGCCCCGGCUAACUUCGUGCCAGCAGCCGCGGUAAUACGAAGGGGGCUAGCGUUGUUCGGAAUCACUGGGCGUAAAGCGCACGUAGGCGGACCAUUAAGUCAGGGGUGAAAGCCUGGAGCUCAACUCCAGAACUGCCUUUGAUACUGAUGGUCUCGAGUU